AAUUCAACAUUAUAAUUUGCCAAUCAAAUUUGAGUCAACUGUGACAGUUCCAAAUAAACAUUACAUUAAACUACAUUAAACUACAAAAAACUACAAUUACGUAAAAUUUGAUUCAACAGUAAAAUCAAAUUUUGAGUCAACAGUUACAGUUCCAAAUAAACAUUACAUUACACUACAAAAAACUACAAAAAACUACAAUUAACUACAAAUUGAAUUCAACAGUAUAUUUUGCCAAUCAAUUACACAUUAACUCCGAAUAACAACAAUUAACUACANN
rnacentral:lncRNA from 1 species